rnacentral:rRNA from 1 species
GGAUGACGGCCCUACGGGUUGUAAACUGCUUUUAUGCGGGGAUAAAGUGAGGGACGUGUCCCUUUUUGCAGGUACCGCAUGAAUAAGGACCGGCUAAUUCCGUGCCAGCAGCCGCGGUAAUACGGAAGGUCCGGGCGUUAUCCGGAUUUAUUGGGUUUAAAGGGAGCGUAGGCCGGGGAUUAAGUGUGUUGUGAAAUGUAGGCGCCCAACGUCUGACUUGCAGCGCAUACUGGUUCCCUUGAGUACGCGCAACGCCGGCGGAAUUCGUCGUGUAGCGGCGAAAUGCUUAGAUAUGACGAAGAACCCCGAUUGCGAAGGCAGCCGGCGGGAGCGCAACUGACGCUGAAGCUCGAAGGUGCGGGUAUCGAACAGGAUUAGAUACCCUGGUAGUCCGCACGGUAAACGAUGGAUGCCCGCUGUCGGCGCCUUGCGCCGGCGGCCAAGCGAAAGCGUUAAGCAUCCCACCUGGGGAGUACGCCGGCAACGGUGAAACUCAAAGGAAUUGACGGGGGCCCGCACAAGCGGAGGAACAUGUGGUUUAAUUCGAAUGAUACGCGAGGAACCUUACCC